rnacentral:lncRNA from 1 species
CUUGUUGAAUGCAAUGUGUGAAAAAGGGCUUCAAAUUAUACAGUUUUAGGUGUACUGCUUCAAUAUACAGGUUGUCUAAAAUAAAAUAAAAAAUAUAGCGCUUUUUAAAAAAAAAAUUUAAAUAACCACCCACUUUAGAGGGCGCUUUCCAAAAUAAGCGCCCUCUAAACCCUUUAAAUUUCCAUUUUAGAGGGCGCUUUCCAGUAAAAGCGCCCUCUAAACCCUUAAAAGUUUCCACUUUAGAGGGCGCUUUCCAGUAAAAGCGCCCUCUAAACCCUUAAAAGUUUCCACUUUAGAGGGCGCUUUCCAGUAAAAGUGCCCUCUAAACCCUUAAAUGUUU